rnacentral:rRNA from 1 species
AUUGAACGCUGGCGGCAGGCUUAACACAUGCAAGUCGAGCGGGGAAGGGUAGCUUGCUACCUAACCUAGCGGUGGACGGGUGAGUAAUGCUUAGGAAUCUGCCAUUUAGUGGGGGACAACAUUCCGAAAGGAAUGCUAAUACCGCAUACGUCCUACGGGAGAAAGCAGGGGAUCUUCGGACCUUGCGCUAAAUGAUGAGCCUAAGUCGGAUUAGCUAGUUGGUGGGGUAAAGGCCUACCAAGGCGACGAUCUGUAGCGGGUCUGAGAGGAUGGUCCGCCACACUGGGACUGAGACACGGCCCAGACUCCUACGGGAGGCAGCAGUGGGGAAUAUUGGACAAUGGGCGGAAGCCUGAUCCAGCCAUGCCGCGUGUGUGAAGAAGGCCUUAUGGUUGUAAAGCACUUUAAGCGAGGAGGAGGCUACUUAGAUUAAUACUCUAGGAUAGUGGACGUUACUCGCAGAAUAAGCACCGGCUAACUCUGUGCCAGCAGCCGCGGUAA